GCGCUCUUAGCUCAGUUGGUUAGAGCGUUCGCUUCACACGCGAAAGGCCAUAGGUUCGAAUCCUAUAGAGCGCACCA
rnacentral:tRNA from 1 species